rnacentral:rRNA from 1 species
UACGUAGGGUGCGAGCGUUAAUCGGAAUUACUGGGUGUAAAGCGUGCGCAGGCGGUUAUGUAAGACAGAGGUGAAAUCCCCGGGCUCAACCUGGGAACUGCCUUUGUGACUGCAUAACUAGAGUACGGCAGAGGGGGAUGGAAUUCCGCGUGUAGCAGUGAAAUGCGUAGAUAUGCGGAGGAACACCGAUGGCGAAGGCAAUCCCCUGGGCCUGUACUGACGAUCAUGCACGAAAGCGUGGGGAGCAAACAGG